GGGGUAUUCUGGUUGCCUUACCCAGCUCUGAAGUCUGUCAGCCUCUUCAGAUGUCACUUGCCAUGUGGUAAGGAAGUGUAGUCAGCAGCUGGUGCAGUGGGAAGAAGAGAAAGGAAGUUCCCCAAGACAAAAACAUCUCGGCAGACCGUGAUCAUGGGCUACAUUCUCCGUACCAGCUUCAUAGCUCCAGUGAGAAAAUAAAUUCCUGCAUCCAGGAGAUGUGGAGUAAGAGAUACAGCUGCCCUUGACCAUAUUUCUUACUUCCGAGAAGAUCGUAGCAGUAAUUCAGAAUCUCAUCCAGGAUACCUCAUCACAGGCUGGAGUGCAGUGUCAUGAGCUUGGCUCACUACAGCCUCCAUCUUCUGUGCUUAAGGAUCCUUCCCUCUCAACCUCCAAGGUAGCUGAGACUACAGGUAUGUGCCACCAUGCUGGACUAAUUUAUUGUUGUUGUUGUUGUUUGUUAGAUUUUUGGUAGAGGCAAGGUUUCACCAUGUUGCCCAGGCCAGAGUCAAACUCCUGGGCUCAAGUGAUAUUUAUUUUGUUAUAGAGAUGGGGUCUUAAUGUGGUGCCCAGGCUAGUCUGGGAUUACAGGUGUGAGCCACUGUGCCUUGCCAAAAACUGCCAUUCUCAUCAUAUCGUACCAAGAGUACAAACUCAACAAGGGUACAAACUGUCAACCAGAGUAGACAUUCAUUAUUGGCAGAAUGUCUACAAAUUCCUUUAAACCUUCACCAUAAACAUGUGCCUACUCUCUUCCAAUUAUUUCAUGUGUAUUAAUUUAUUCAUUUAUACAUGCAUCUUUUAUUUAUAUCAUUAUCUAAAUAUGGAGAUUUAUUUUACAAUGCGUAUGUGCUAUUUUUUUUUUUUUGAGACAGAGCCUUUCUCUGUUGCCCAGGCUGGAGUGCAAUGGUGCGAUCUCAGCUCAUCGCAACCUCUGCCCCCUGGGUUCAAGCGAUUCUAGUGCCUCAGUUUCCUGACUGGCUGGGAUUACAGGCAUGAGACACUACACCUGGCUAAGUUUUGUGUUUUUAGUAGAGACAGGGUUUCACCAUGUUGGCCAGGUUGGUCUUAAACUCCAUACCUCAGAUGAUCCACCCUCCUCGGCCUCCCAAAGUGCUGGGAUUACAGGCAUGAGCCACCAUGCUUGGCCGCUAUUUUUUUUUUUAAUUGCACAAAUUGUUCCAGUGUUGGCUAUUGGAAGGUUUUUAAGUUGUCUCUUGUAUCACUUUGAAAUACCUCCAUAAUUAAAGUUUGAUGUUGUGUGGUUGGUUGGUUUUGUUGUUGUUUGGCAUUUUCUUUUGUUCAGUCACUAUUAUAUGCUCCAGUCUAUGAAUUUAAUUGUGCUCCAGGGUAAUUUGGUAAUUUUAUAAUUUCUACGAAUGUUUCCAACACCAUAUGACCUAAUCCAGCACCAUAUAAAUGGAUCCACUCAUUCUCUCAUUUGUAUGUAAUCUAGCACUCCCUGCAAGCAAGUUGAUGUUGUUAAUUUAAUCAUGCUACCUGAACAAGGUAUAUUGCUAUGUAGAAAAAUACAAGUUGAAACAGUCAAAAUACUGUGUAAUUCCAUUCAUAUGACUCUGUAGAAAAGGAAAAAGUGUAGUGAUAGUAGAGUUCAGUGGUAACAAGGGGCUUGGGAGAGAUAUAGGUGACAUCAGUGAACUACCGAAGAUUUCUUUUGGGCAGUGAAAUUCCUCUUUGAUACUGUAACGGUGGAUACAUCAUAAUGUUUUCCAAAUCCUGAAGAACUUUGUAACACAAAGAGUGUAGCUAAUUUAUGCAAAUUAAAAACCUUAUUUAGGAGGUCACAAGUUUGCCUUUUCACAGUAUUUUACCUUUUCCAACUUAUAUUUUUUAGCAAUAUGCUUUUUAGAUUUUUGAAGUACACCUCAUGGUUUUUAGAUUUGCCUUCACCUAAUUGUUGUAGGACAGGUGAGUCACACAAUUGGGGCUUAUCCUGAGAGGGUUAUUAGCUUUGUCCAGGAAAGAAUUUAAGGGCAAGUGGGUGAUGUUAGACUGCAAUAUUUUAUUGAAUGGUACUGCUCCUAGCAGAGCAGGGCUAACUCUUAAGCAGUGUGUUCAGAGUUGGCAACAUAUAGGCCUCCUGGCAACUGUGUUUAUAUGCAAUCAAACCCACUUUUAAUUAUAUGCAAAUUGAGGGGCAGAUCAAUGCAAAUUGAGGCAGGAAAGGGGCAGUGACUUCUAGGUUGUCUCCAUGGAAAGGGGCAGUAACUUCUGAGCUGUAGCCAUGGAAUUUGUAAACAGUUAUGUGGUUGGUAGGAGUGUCAUAUGAGUGACAAAUGAAGACUGCCAGGGAUCACAUUUACCACAAUGUACACGCUUCUGUCAGUUUUUUCCCUUUAUCCUGUCUGGAGCAGAUCUUAUUUUGGUCAUCAAGGUUGUGAAACCAGAAAACAAGUCCUUCCAGUCUCCUACCUCAUAAUGACAAAAGACAUUGAGCAUAAUUUCAUGUGAUUUUGGAUAUGACUAUGGCUUUCUUUUGAGAGUUGGCUAUUUAAGAUUUUGCCAUUUUUGAUUGGGAUAUUUGCCUUUUUAAUUUUGAGUUGUAAGACAUUGUAUAUUCUGGAUAAUAGACCAUUAUCACCUAUAAAAUUUGCAAUUUUCACAUAUUUUCUGCCAUUCUUUGGGUGCCUCUUUAUAUUUGAUGGUGGACUUUAAAUUGCAAAAGAUUUUAAUUCUAAUGAAGUUUAAUAUUUCUAUAUUUUCUUCUUUCCUUUGUGCUUUUCAGUGUCAUAUCUUAAAACAUUGUUUAACCAGAGACCACAAAGAUGUAUUCCUGUGUUCCUUUUUAUGGGUUGGCCCUGUUUAGCUCUUAUAUUUAGAUGGAUUAUCAUUUUGAGUCAAUUAUGUUUCUGGUAUGAGGCAAGAGUCUAACUUGCAUGUGGAUAUCCACUUGACCCACAAACAUUUGACAAGAAAAUAUUGCUUCAUACCUAAUUUAUUUGGCCACAGUAUAAAAGCAUUUCACCAUAAAUGUAGGGAUUCAUUUUUCAGUAUUAUAUUCUCUACUCCAUUGAUCAAUACAUAUAUCCCUAUACUAGUACCACAAAUCUUGAUUACUAUUACUUUGUAGUAAGUUUUGCAAUCAAGAAGCAUAUGUCUACUAUGCAAACCCUUUUUGUCCUUCUCAAGAGUGUUUUGGCUGCUCAUGAUCUAUAUUAUAUAUAAUUUUAGGAUAAACUUCUGAAUUUAGGGGAAGGUAAUGCCACCUGGUGUUUUGAGAGAAGUUGCAUUAAUUCUAUAGAUCCAUUUGGAAAAUAUUGCCAACCUAACAAUAUGCAUUCUGUAGUUUUUAGUGUACAUAUCUUAUACUUAAUUUGAUAAGGUUAUUCCUAAGUAUUUUUGAUGUGAUCUUAAUUGGAACGAUUUUCUGAGUUUUGUUUUUAGAUUGUUAAUUGCUAGUAUAGAGAAAUUUAAAAUAUUUUAUAUAUUUUAUAUGCUGCAAACUUCUUUGAACUCAUCUUUAAAUUCUAAACAUAUUUGAUAGAGUCCUUUGGACUUUUUAUACAUGAGAUCAUGUCAUUUGCAAACAGUCGGAGUUUGACUUCCUUUCCAUACUAGAAACGUUAUAUUUAUUUUUCUAAAUGAAUUGCCCUGUCUACAUUCUCCAGUACAAUGUUGCGAACAAGUGUCAACAGUGGAAAUAUUUGACUUCUUUCUAAUAUCAGAGAAAUUAGUGAACCUUUCAGAUUACUUAUGAUGAUAUGUGAGCUUUUCAUAGAUGCCCUUUGAAAUGAAGAAAGUUCUCUUAUCUGCCUAAUUUGCUGCAUGUUUUUAUAAUACUGAAUCUGGGAAUUUUCAAGUGCUUGUUGCACACCUUCUGAGACGAUUGUGUAGUUUUUAUUCUUUAUUAAUAUAGUGUAUGACAUUAAUUGUAUCAUAUGUUGAACCAAAUUUGCAUUCCUGAGGUAAAUACCUUUUGCCAUAGUUUAUAAUACUUUCUACAUGUUGCUGAUUUCAUUUGAUAAUAUCUCGCUGCUGAUUUUUGUCUCUGUAUUUAUAAGGCAUAUUGGUCUUCAUUCUCCUUAUUUGAAAUGUCUUUGUGUAGUUGUUCAAUCAGGGUAAACUAAUUCAUAGUAUACAAUGGGAAGUGAUCUAUUUUCUACUUCUUUAUUAUUAUUGUAUUGUUUUGAAAUAUUUUUGAUAAAUUAGUAUUAAUUUUAAGUGAUUUUAAUAACACAUCAAUGAGUUCCUGAUGAGGGCAGGGAGGUGAAUCCUAAGAACAAUCAUGUGAGUUUGGAAGGAGACCCUUCCCCAGCUGAGCCUCAGCCUGAGCCAUCCCCUACAUCUAGACCGAAGACCCAGAGAAACCGUGAGUAGUAUGUGUGUGGUUCUGAGCCACUAAGGUAUGUAGUAAUUUGUUAUGCACCAAGUAGUAAGUAAUAUACCUGACAGUAAUUGUUAGGUGGUAUUCUGGAUUAGGUCCUGGAAUAGAUAAGUAUAUGAUUAUUAGAAAACCUGGUAAAAUAUGAAGGAAGUUUGUAGAUCAGUUAAUAGUCUUGAAAAACAGUUAAAUUCUUAGUUUUCAUGAAUAUGCUAUGGUUACAAUAUAUAUUAACAUUCUAGUUAUCUGAAUGGUAUAUGAAACUGUCUGUACUUACCUAUGUGCAUUUAUGUAAAUCUGCAGUUAUUUCAAAAUAAAUAUGUUUUUUAAUAUUAUUAUUAUUUUUUUAAGAAAAGUAAGCAAGUAAAGACAUCAGCAAAAAACUUUUGCCUCCAGAUACAAGUGGGCAUGUAGGGAGAGAAUAGUAAACUGGCUUUUCUUUUCUUUUCUAGGCAACAUUCGAAACCCAGGUGCCACUCCUUCAGGAAGGUACCAUCAAGCUCCAAGGACUCAUCCUCUUUCUCCUUCCCCACUACCUAGUCAUUAGAGCGUCAGCAUCCACUUCCUGAAAGGAAGAUGCCUGUUUUUCACAUAUCCCAGAAAGCCUCAUUUUAGGACAGCAUUUAGCAGAGUGUAUUCAGGAUCCCACUAACCUUUUCGGAAGACAUGACUUCCAGAUGAUAUAAGGCAAGAAUAAGAAAUUUCAGUGACAGGGAACAGAAAUCAUAUUUCUGCAUUCAGGAUCAUGUUUUCUUGGCUCCAUCAGGAACUGUGCAGGACUGUGCACUCUGUUGAUACUCACAUGGUGGAAUUAUAUUGCCCUUGGCCAACCCUAAAGCCAUCAAGAUAGCAGGUUUGGAAUAAUUCACUGUCGAAGUCUUCUUGAGCUGAGCAGUCAUGUGAGCUUGGAAGAUGAUCCCUCUCCAGCUGAUCCUUCAGCUCAGGCCAUCAUCUACAUCUGGAUUCCUGACCCGGAGAAACUAUGAGUAAUGUGUGCUGCUUUUGAGCCACUAAGCUACAUGAAUUAAUGAAGGAUCAUUAUUAAGUUUUUAAUGGGUCAAGAGAAAGUUACCACUGAGGUCUUCUCUACCUGGGCAACAAUUGACUCCUAACAACCACUAUAAGCUUGGAAGAUGAUCCCUCCCCAGCUGAUCCUUCAGGAAUUUCCACUGAAGUACCUCUGGUUGAAAAGGAGAACAGAGACUUUUUUCACAGCCACAGGACAAAAUUUGUUCAGAAUUAAAUGCUGAAAAAGGAGGCUGGAGUGCCGUGGCACAAUUAUGGUUCACCAGCCUCAACCUCCUGGGAUCAAGCAAUCGUCUCACCUCAGCCUCCUGAGUAGCUGGACUGCAGG
rnacentral:lncRNA from 10 species